AGUGAACGCUGGCGGUAGGCCUAACACAUGCAAGUCGAACGGCAGCACAGUAAGAGCUUGCUCUUACGGGUGGCGAGUGGCGGACGGGUGAGGAAUACAUCGGAAUCUACUUUUUCGUGGGGGUUAACGUAGGGAAACUUACGCUAAUACCGCAUACGACCUACGGGUGAAAGCAGUGGAUCUUCGGACCUUGCGCGAUUGAAUGAGCCGAUGUCGGAUUAGCUAGUUGGCGGGGUAAAGGCCCACCAAGGCGACGAUCCGUAGCUGGUCUGAGAGGAUGAUCAGCCACACUGGAACUGAGACACGGUCCAGACUCCUACGGGAGGCAGCAGUGGGGAAUAUUGGACAAUGGGCGCAAGCCUGAUCCAGCCAUACCGCGUGGGUGAAGAAGGCCUUCGGGUUGUAAAGCCCUUUUGUGGGGAAAGAAAAGCAGCAGGUUAAUACCCCGCUGUUCUGACGGUACCCAAAGAAUAAGCACCGGCUAACUUCGUG
rnacentral:rRNA from 1 species